rnacentral:tRNA from 1 species
GCCCGCUUGGCUUAGGGGUACAGCGUCUCACUCGUAAUGAGAAGAUCCUCAGUUGUAAGAGCCUCAUACCCCAUGCAUUUCCUUGGCGCUGACGUAAUCCUAAGCGAUUCUGAGAGUGGGCA